CGCAGCAACGCCGCGUGAGUGAUGAAGGCCUUCGGGUCGUAAAGCUCUGUCAGAGGGAAAGAAGUGCGGGUGGCUAAUAUCCAUACCGCUUGACGGUACCCUCAAAGGAAGCACCGGCUAACUCCGUGCCAGCAGCCGCGGUAAUACAGAGGUGGCAAGCGUUGUUCGGAAUUACUGGGCGUAAAGGGCGCGUAGGCGGCCUUGUAAGUCUCGUGUGAAAGCCCUCGGCUUAACUGAGGAUCUGCACGGGAUACUGUAGGGCUCGAGUUCGGGAGAGGAAAGCGGAAUUCCGGGUGUAGCGGUGAAAUGCGUAGAUAUCCGGAGGAACACCAGUGGCGAAGGCGGCUUUCUGGACCGACACUGACGCUGAGGCGCGAAAGCUAGGGGAGCAAACGGGAUUAGAUACCCCGGUAGUCCUAGCUGUAAACGAUGAUCGCUGGGUGUGGGGGGUUUUUACUCCCUCCGUGCCGAAGCUAACGCAUUAAGCGAUCCGCCUGGGGAGUACGGUCGCAAGGCUG
rnacentral:rRNA from 1 species